rnacentral:rRNA from 1 species
GAUGAACGCUGGCGGCGUGCCUAAUACAUGCAAGUCGAACGCAUAGCGAAAGGGGCUUGCACCUUUCAGGUGAGUGGCGAACGGGUGAGUAACACGUGGACAACCUGCCUCAAGGCUGGGGAUAACAUUUGGAAACAGAUGCUAAUACCGAAUAAAACUUAGUGUCGCAUGACACAAAGUUAAAAGGCGCUUCGGCGUCACCUAGAGAUGGAUCCGCGGUGCAUUAGUUAGUUGGUGGGGUAAAGGCCUACCAAGACAACGAUGCAUAGCCGAGUUGAGAGACUGAUCGGCCACAUUGGGACUGAGACACGGCCCAAACUCCUACGGGAGGCUGCAGUAGGGAAUCUUCCACAAUGGGCGAAAGCCUGAUGGAGCAACGCCGCGUGAGUGAUGAAGGCCUUCGGGUCGUAAAGCACUGUUGUAUGGGAAGAACAGAUAUGAUAGGAAAUGAUCUUAGUUUGACGGUACCAUAUCAGAAAGGGACGGCUAACUACGUG